rnacentral:misc_RNA from 1 species
UUAAUUUAUUUUCUUGUGAGACUCAGAAUAUGCCGCUAGAUUAAACAAGAGUUUGGGUCCUCCGGCGGGCGCCUGGUUCCGGGCCGGUGAGGGCGCCGGGGCGGUCCCGCCGAAGCAACGUUCAGGUAUGUUCACAGGGGUUUGGGAGUUGAUAACUCGGUAAUGAUCCCUCCGCUGGUUCACCAACGGAGA